CGCGCCUGUAAUCCAAGCUACCGGGAGGCUGAGGCUGGCGGAUCGUUUGAGCUCAGGAGUUCUGAGCUGCAGCGGACUAUGCCGAUCGGGUGUCCGCACUAAGUUCGGCACCGAUAUGGUGCUCCUGGGGGAGCCCGGGACCACCAGGUCGUCUAAGGAGGGGUGUACCGGCCCAGGUCGGAAACGGAGCAGGUCAAAGCCACCCGUGCCGCUCAGUAGUGGGAUCGCGCCUGUGAAUAGACGCUGUAGUGCAGCCUGAG
rnacentral:SRP_RNA from 1 species